GACGAACGCUGGCGGCGUGCCUAAUACAUGCAAGUAGAACGCUGAAGGAGGAGCUUGCUUCUCCGGAUGAGUUGCGAACGGGUGAGUAACGCGUAGGUAACCUGCCUGGUAGCGGGGGAUAACUAUUGGAAACGAUAGCUAAUACCGCAUAACAGUAGAUAUCGCAUGAUAUCUGCUUGAAAGGUGCAAUUGCAUCACUACCAGAUGGACCUGCGUUGUAUUAGCUAGUUGGUGAGGUAACGGCUCACCAAGGCGACGAUACAUAGCCGACCUGAGAGGGGGGUCGGCCACACUGGGACUGAGACACGGCCCAGACUCCUACGGGAGGCAGCAGUAGGGAAUCUUCGGCAAUGGACGGAAGUCUGACCGAGAAACGCCGCGUGAGUGAAGAAGGUUUUCGGAUCGUAAAGCUCUGUUGUAAGAGAAGAACGAGUGUGAGAGUGGAAAGUUCACACUGUGACGGUAUCUUACCAGAAAGGGACGGCUAACUACGUG
rnacentral:rRNA from 1 species